AACGAACGCUGGCGGCGCGCCUAAUACAUGCAAGUCGAGCGAGAAGGCGUAGCAAUACACUUGUAAAGCGGCGAACGGGUGAGGAAUGCAUGGGUAACCUACCCUCGAGUGGGGAAUAACUAGCCGAAAGGUUAGCUAAUACCGCAUACGUUUCCGGAACUUCGGUUUCGGAAAGAAAGCAAUACCGUGGGUAUUGCGCUCCUGGAUGGGCUCAUGUCCUAUCAGCUUGUUGGUGAGGUAACGGCUCACCAAGGCUUCGACGGGUAGCUGGUCUGAGAGGACGAUCAGCCACACUGGCACUGCGACACGGGCCAGACUCCUACGGAGGCAGCAGUAAGGAAUAUUGCGCAAUGGACGAAAGUCUGACGCAGCGACGCCGCGUGGGGGAUGAAGGUCUUCGGAUUGUAAACCCCUUUCGGGAGGGAAGAUGGAGUGGGUAACCACUUGGACGGUACCUCCAGAAGCAGCCACGGCUAACUUCGUGCCAGCAGCCGCGGUAAU
rnacentral:rRNA from 1 species